ensembl:lncRNA
UUGGUGGCGCGUCGUGGGUGAGGGAGGACGGCCAGUGACCCGCACGAAUCGCAGGCGGAAGGGGCUCCGCGUGGACUCCUGGGGGCGUGUGGAGGCGCCUGAAGUUUAGAGAUGACCCGUCAUACCUGACGCCUGCGGGUCCAGAAGACGAAGUUGAUCAGAUCCAGCCUUUGGAGGAUCCACUUGGGAAUUUCCCACUCUGUGUCCUGAGACUAGGAGCCUAGUGGGGACUUUGUGGACUCCCAAGCUCUUCUGGAAACUGCUCCCAGAGGAUUCAUAAAAUCGAGCAAGAACUUGGCCUUCCUUCUUGAGCCUCUGUGUUGGGACACAUUGAGCCAA